rnacentral:tRNA from 1 species
GGGAGUUUGGCCGAGUGGUUUAAGGCGUCAGAUUAAGGUUUUACCAACAUUAAACUUUCACACUCUGAUAUCUUCGGAUGCGCGGGUUCGAAUCCCACAGCUCUCA